UACAGAGGUCUCAAGCGUUGUUCGGAUUCAUUGGGCGUAAAGGGUGCGUAGGCGGCGCGGUAAGUCGAGUGUGAAAUCUUGGAGCUUAACUCCGAAACUGCAUUCGAUACUGCCGUGCUUGAGGACUGGAGAGGAGACUGGAAUUUACGGUGUAGCGGUGAAAUGCGUAGAUAUCGUAAGGAAGACCAGUGGCGAAGGCGGGUCUCUGGACAGUUCCUGACGCUGAGGCACGAAGGUCAGGGGAGCAAACGGG
rnacentral:rRNA from 1 species